rnacentral:rRNA from 1 species
CAGCAGCCGCGGGAAUACGUAUGUCACGAGCGUUAUCCGGAUUUAUUGGGCGUAAAGCGCGUCUAGGUGGUUAUGUAAGUCUGAUGUGAAAAUGCAGGGCUCAACUCUGUAUUGCGUUGGAAACUGUAUAACUAGAGUACUGGGAAGGUAAGCGGAACUACAAGUGUAGAGGUGAAAUUCGUAGAUAUUUGUAGGAAUGCCGAUGGGGAAGCCAGCUUACUGGACAGAUACUGACGCUGAAGCGCGAAAGCGUGGGUAGCAAACAGGAUUAGAUACCCGUGUAGUCCCUGUCUCUUAUACA